CCCCGCCGCUGCGGCCGCGCUAAUCGGCCUCCCAGCCGGUCACCGCGCAGCGCCCCCCUCCUGCCCGCACCUCUGCUCGUCGCGGAGACAUGCGGGCCGCCCUGGCCCUGGCGCUGCUGCGCCUCUGCCUCGCUAAGGUCAACUUCGCCCCCCACUUCUUCGACAACGGAAACCUGGGCCUGUUCAGCCUCCCGGAGGACACCCCUGUCGGCUCUCAUGUGUACACGCUGAAUGGGACAGACCCUGAGGGCGAGCCUGUGUCCUACCACAUCAGCUUUGACCCCAGCACUAGAAGCGUCUUUUCUGUUGACCCCAAUUUUGGAAACAUCACCCUGAUCGAAGAGCUGGACCGAGAGAGGGAGGACCAGAUCGAAGCCAUCAUCAGCAUUUCUGACGGCCUGAACCUGGUGGCAGAGAAAGUCGUGAUCCUGGUGACUGAUGUCAACGACGAGGCACCCAGGUUCCUCCAGGAGCCGUACACUGUCCAGAUUCCUGAGGACACACCUGCUGGGAGCAGUAUCUUUGAGGUUCGUGCUGUGGACAAGGACACGGGCUCUGGAGGAAGUGUCACCUACUCCCUGCAGAACACGCCGGCCACCCAGUUCACUGUGGACCGCCUCCGCGGCGUGCUGCGCCUCCGGGCAGGGUCCGCCCUGGACUACGAGAAGGCCCGGGCCCACUUCGUCACGGUGGUUGCCCAGGACGGCGGCGGGCGGCUGAGGGGUGCAGCUGCGGUGUUCUCGGCCACCACCACGGUCACGGUCAGCGUGGAGGACGUGCAGGAUGUGGGCCCCGUGUUUGUGGGCACUCCCUUCCACGGCUGCGUGUACGAGGACACCAUUCCAGGCUCUGAGGUGCUGACAGUGGUCGCCAUGGAUGGAGACAGGGGCAAACCCAACCGCCUUCUCUACAGCCUCGUGAAUGGGAGUGACGGUGCCUUUGACAUUAACGUGACGUCUGGAGCCAUCGUGGUCACCCAGAGCCCCGCCCAGCUCCGGAGAGAGGUGUAUGAGCUGCACGUCCAGGUGACUGAGGUCAGCGCUGCAGGGAGCCCCGCUGCCCAGGCCACGGUCCCCGUCACCAUCAGGCUCGUGGACCUCAACAACCACCCACCUACAUUCUACGGAGAGAGUGGACCCCAGACCAGGUUCGAGCUGUCCCUGUCCGAGCACCCGCCCCCGGGGGAGAUCCUGCGAGGCCUCAAGGUCACUGUCAAAGACUUGGACCAGGGCACCAAUGCCAAGUUCGCCCUGCGGCUGGUGGGGCUGGAGGAUGCCUUCCGCGUGGUCCCGCAGACAGCCCUGAAGGAAGCCCAAGUCACAGUCCUCGCUGAGAACUCAGCCGCCAUUGACUUUGAGAAGUUCAGAGUGUUAACCUUCCAGCUCCUGGCGACUGAGGUGGACACGGCCGAGAAGUUCAGUGCCACCGCAGAUGUGGUGGUCCAGCUGCUGGACUCCAACGACAAUGCCCCCCAGUUCACCUCUCCCCACUACGUCGCCAGGGUUCCCGAGGACGCCCCAGGGGGCUCCACCGUGGUGGCCGUCAGGGCUGUGGAUCUGGACACAGGCCCCUGGGGGGCAGUCACGUAUUCCAUCUAUGGGCCCGGGGCAGACCUCUUUCAGAUCCACUCCUCCACGGGGGUCAUCUGCACGCAGCCCUGGGCCAGCCUGGAUGCCGAGGCCACCGCCAGGUACAGCUUCCAUGUAAGAGCAGAGGACACAGGGGGCAGGCAUGGCCUGGCCAAGGUGACCGUCUUGCUGCUGGAUGUCAAUGACCACCCCCCCCAGUUUGGACAGAGCAUCCAGGAGAAGACGAUGGUGCUGGGGACCCCUGUGAGAAUCAAGGCCACAGACCUGGAUGCAGAGGCGCCCAACAACCUGGUGGACUACUCCAUCACGCACGCGGAGCCGGCCGGCGUGUUUGACAUCGAUGCACGCACAGGAGAGAUCCGGCUCAAGAGCUCCAUCCGCUCCCUGGACGCCCUGCGCAGCAUCACGCACAGCGGGGACUGCACGUGGGCCCUGGAGGUGCAGGCCAAGGACCGCGGCUCCCCAUCCUUCAGCACCAUGGCCGUCCUCAGGAUUGACAUCACAGACGCCGAGACGCUUCCCCGGAGCCCCAUCGACACCUUCCUGAUGCAGACCAGAGAUGACCCUGCGAAGGCUGUUGGCGUGCUGGCUGGCGCCGUGGCCAUUACUGUGGCCAUCACCGCCCUCGUGUCCACCGUCACCUUCUGGCGCAGCAAGAAGUCCAACAGGGUCCUGCCAGUGCGGCGUGUGCUUCGCAGGCGGCCCCGCCCUGCCCCCCGCGCUGCCCGCAUCAAGUGGCUGAAGUGCAGUAGGACCAAGGCUGCAGCCAAGUUCGUUCUCAAAGAGGAUCCCCCCAGUGAGAGCUGCAACGGCAGCCUGGGGAGCCCCCCACCCCUCAGAGCCCCAGUGCCCCCUCCUCUACCCAGAGUGGCACCCGGCCCGGGGGCAGCAGCCUGGACUGUGCCCACAGUCUCUGGCUCACUCACCUCUCUGCAACCUCGAGGGUCACCCAAACCCAGCGCCUCGGGAAGCCCCAUCCAGUCAGCUCUGGUCUCGGAGCUCAGGCAACAGUUUGAGAAGCGUGGAACUGACAAGGCGCACUUUUAGAGUGCGGCCCAGAGCCCCUCUCCCCAACCUUCUCUCCCCCCUGCUCCUUAGGGUCACCCAGUUUUGUAUGAUGGUGUAACCCCCAUAUUCAGGGCUCUGGAUAACACCUGGGCAAGGGAUUUCCCUGGUUCUGGACGCGAUGGGGCAGCACUUCCCAUUGCCCUGGCGCUUGCAGCUGCCCUCCGUUCAGCAGAGGCCAGGAAUCGACAAGGAGUCGGCUCCCUGUCUCCUACUCACCAGUCCCAGACCCACAGUCCAUGGCUCUCCCAGGGCCUCCGGAUCCUCAGGCGAGGAGCGGGCCUGGCCCCUGUGACAAGGCCAGCCAGAACCUGAUCCUGAAGCCCCAGCUGAGAGCAGGGCAGACACAGGAGGUCCAGCGCUGGCUGAGGGAGAGCAAACGUGUGGGAAAGGGCAGAGGUGCACUGGGAGCAGUCAGCUGACUGCGAGGCUGUGCUGGGGCUGCUGGGAAGGUGGGGGGAGGGAGGGGCGAGGGUGUUUGGGCAGAGACCGCGGGGCACUCCUGUACCCACGGGAACCAGGGACACAGGUGUAAAAAGGGCCUUGCAAGAGGGAGAGUGGAUGCCCCAGCCAGGGCUUCCCUGAACCCAGAAGUGUUCAAGCUGGAGCCCGAGGCGGGUGGAGGGUCCUAGUGGCCACAGGAAAAGCUUCAUGUCCCUCAUGAGGGAGCUGCCCCCAGGAGCCGUGAAGGGAGCAGGCAGGUGUCAGUGCUGAGAUCUGGGGAGACCUCGCUUCCAGCCGGCUCUUCUCUUCCCCGGUGUAACCGUCUGGAAGCUCAGCCUCUUCCUCGUUUGUGAAAUGAGACGGUGAGUCCCAUGGGCCUCCUCAGGUCCAGGGUGAGAAUGAAAUGAGCAGUGGGGACAGGGCUUCAACAAGUGCAAGCGGCACCCAUGGGUUCUCCGCAGGCAGUUCUCGGGUACGGCUCUUCCAGGAAGUGUCAGGGACCCUUGGCUGCUCUGCCAAGCACCCCAGGAAGAGCUGUGCUGGGCGAGGGUGUUGCCACUGACCCGGCAGCCAGAGCAGGACAGUGGCAUUGCCGGAUUCCUGCCGCCCCAUCACCUCCCGGGGCGGCGGCCCAGCCACUACAGGGCGCCUGGCAACAGCAGUCAGUCCAAGCCUCCAUCUGCUGAGGUGAGAGGCUGCCGGCUCCGGGUCUCCGUGGCCCUUUGGGAAGGGGCAGGUCUUUGCAUGUUGCCCCUCACGAAGAACCCCAAGAAUCUGCCCGGCAUCUUAUUCAAGCAGGUGAAGUGCACGUGUGGGGUCCUGAGUCUGCGGAGUUUGGGGCGCUCCUCAGACAGGCCCCUGGCCGGGCUCCUGCUGCCCCUGCCCCUGGAGUAGUGACAGGUGGGCUCUGGGGAGCCAGGGCCCUGACGGACAGACAGUCCUCUGCAGAGUGUCAGGAGGCAAUGGGCCCAGGUUGUCUCCCAGAGAGCACAGCAGCCUCCCAGCUCCCUGCAACCACCCUCUUUGUGAAGGUGAAUGCCAGGGCCCGGUAGCCACGCCUCUGGCUCCUGCUGAGGCUCCUGCUAGCUACUCCAGAGACCACUUCCCGGUCCACAGCUGAGUGCCUCCGGCCUCCUGGCUCCUCUGGUGGAUGGAUCCAUCCUUCACCCCAGGUCUGACUCUGUGGGUAGCUGCAAAUUUUUGUCCAAAUUGCCAUGCGGACUCCUCAGACAGCAGCACGCCUGCAGGGAGGAAUGGGAUCUAAUUAUCCUCAGCCGAGCCCAGCAAGCAGGAGCCAGGAGACCUGGCAUGGGCGUGGGAACCCAAGGGCGCUGCUGGCCCUGGGACAGUGUUCGCAGCCCAGAGAUAUGCUUCUUCCUGUGGCUGAGCUCCGACUUCCUAAUUCUAUAAAAGUCAGGCGGCCCUGGGUCUGAAUCCUGAUCCUGUCAGGCGUGACUUUGGGCCUCACUUUCCUCAUAAGUACAUGGAACGAAGACGUGUUUCCAGGAGGAUGACAGGAGCUGCCUACGGAAAGACCGCCUCCAGCUCUGUGCCUGGGGCCAGCCGGAGACCGCUGCUGUUCUUGGUUUUACGGGAGGGACUGAGCGUGACGGUGGUCCCCACACUGAGCACCAGGUCCUGGGGGUGAGGGUCCCUCACGCAUCCUCAUCUCCAGGGUGUUUCCCUCCACCGCCAGACCCAGGAGAGUAGCCCCUCACACAGAGGCAGCAUCUCUUGGCAGACAACGAGGCUUCCCGGGGUCAAGGAGAUCGGAGAGAUGCCACGU